rnacentral:siRNA from 1 species
GAUAGAUGGCGUCCUGCAAUCCGU